GCCCGUAUAGCUCAGUGGUAGAGCGUAUCACUUGUAAGCCAAGUGCAAAUGUGCGAGAUGCUAAGGUCCAUGGUUCAAUCCCAUGUGCGGGCA
rnacentral:tRNA from 1 species